rnacentral:rRNA from 2 species
CGCGUGAGGGAGGGGUUCUUGGAUCGUAAACCUCUUUUCUCAGGGAAGAACAAAAUGACGGUACCUGAGGAAUCAGCAUCGGCUAACUCCGUGCCAGCAGCCGCGGUAAUACGGAGGAUGCAAGCGUUAUCCGGAAUAAUUGGGCGUAAAGCGUCCGUAGGUGGCUGUUCAAGUCUGCCGUUAAAGACCGGGGCUUAACCCUGGAAAGGCGGUGGAAACUGAACGGCUAGAGUGCAGUAGGGGUAGAGGGAAUUCCCGGUGUAGCGGUGAAAUGCGUAGAGAUCGGGAAGAACACCGGUGGCGAAAGCGCUCUGCUGGACUGCAACUGACACUGAGGGACGAAAGCUAGGGGAGCGAAUGGGAUUAGAUACCCCCUAG